rnacentral:rRNA from 1 species
CGGACGGGUGAGUAACGCGUGGAUAACCUGCCUCACACUGGGGGAUAACAGUUAGAAAUGACUGCUAAUACCGCAUAAGCGCACAGUACCGCAUGGUACAGUGUGAAAAACUCCGGUGGUGUGAGAUGGGUCCGCGUCUGAUUAGCCAGUUGGCGGGGUAACGGCCCACCAAAGCGACGAUCAGUAGCCGACCUGAGAGGGUGACCGGCCACAUUGGGACUGAGACACGGCCCAA